rnacentral:rRNA from 1 species
UACGAAGGGUGCAAGCGUUACUCGGAAUUACUGGGCGUAAAGCGUGCGUAGGUGGUUUGUUAAGUCUGUUGUGAAAGCCCCGGGCUCAACCUGGGAAUGGCAAUGGAUACUGGCAAGCUAGAGUGCGGUAGAGGGUAGUGGAAUUCCCGGUGUAGCGGUGAAACGCGUAGAGAUCGGGAGGAACACCAGUGGCGAAGGCGGCUACCUGGACCAGCACUGACACUGGAGGCACGAAAGCGUGGGGAGCAAACAGG